UACGGAGGAUCCGAGCGUUAUCCGGAUUUAUUGGGUUUAAAGGGUGCGUAGGCGGAAAUGUAAGUCAGUGGUGAAAUCCUGCAUCUUAACUGUAGAAUAGCCGUUGAAACUGUGUUUCUUGAGUACAUUUGAGGUAGGCGGAAUGUGGUGUGUAGCGGUGAAGUGCAUGGAUAUACCACAGAACACCGAUUGCGAAGGCAGCUUACUAAACUGUCACUGACGCUGAUGCACGAAAGCGUGGGUAUCAAACAGGAUUAGA
rnacentral:rRNA from 1 species